GACUGACAGAAGGUAUAUCAUAUACCAAGUUAUUGAGGACGGCACCAUGACUAGAUGAAGGAUCCAUGAGACAUCUAGGUAAUGUGAUUUGAAACUUUCUAUUCGGUUCAGAUAACUCGAUAAAUGGGUGAUUCGACUAGAACAAAUUAGCACGAGUCUCCAUAUCUAUGCUAUUUAUAUAGAGAAGGAUUUAACUAUUAAUUUCUUUGAACGUUCAUGCUACGUAUACCUCAAUCAAUCGAUAAAUCUUUAGGGGAAAAUGUUAUUGCAAAUAAAUAAAAGAGAGUUGGCCAAAAAAGAAAAUAAAAAAAUUAACUAUCUGAUACAUAUUAGUGUAUUACCUGAGUAGUCGUACGCCCACUUCUGCUCUGCUAAUGGUAACGGAGCUCCUCUAACUUACCUCUAGGCUGCUGCAGUCGUGUCCUCGUCAUCUCUCGAACUUAUUCUCAGGCAGGCAAAACUUCAGGGAUAUAUCCUUGUCCACAUCAACAUCCAAGCAAAAUUUUGCUUCGUCGAGUCGAAAAAUUGUUCGAAUUUGAUCGGGAAAAGAAGGAGAAGGAGAAUCUGUUUCUGCACCAGUACAAGCUGCUGCUCAAGAAGAACUUGCUGCUGUCAUGGCAGAGCAAGCGGUCCAUGUUCUUCCAGCUCUCCUCCUCCUCCUCCUCCUCCUCCAUCUCCCUCUUUUUUUAUGCUUGCAGUAGGAAACUUCACCUGGGAAGUCACGCUGAAGGAGUUCCCACACCCCCCUAUCAAGACCUUCUCGGCUAUGGUCGAAUUGAGGCAAACCAUCUUCCUCAUGAUCUCCAUGAUCAGUUUCAGGUUCCAGAUCAGUUCCCUGAUAACCGAGAAAGAGCAAAAAGUGGUGAUGACCUUAAGGGACCUUCUUGAUUCGGCUUAUUGGCUCUCGUGGCUCACUUCGGACAGGAUCAUAAUUCUAAUCUCAUCAUUGUUCACGGUCCUCUUUAGGAUGAUGUCCCAAUUUGAUUUUUUCUUGAACAACAGCUUUACGGUUGUCUUCCUCCUCUUAUUCCUCUUCCAGUUCAACAUGAUUGGUUUUUCUUUCAUGUUACCGGCCUUCCUCAGCGAGUCCGCUUCAUCCUCGAUGAUCGGUUUCUACAUAUUCAUCGCUGGCUACCUGCAAGAACAACUGAUGAAAUUCGGGUUCCCUUACAACACCAGCUCCUCAAAUAUGCAUAGAACCAUCUGGUCCCUAUUUCCUCCUAAUCUUCUCACCAAAGCUGUGAAACUGCUGGCUGAUGCAACUUCCACCCUGGUGAUCCUAGAAUCAGUUGGAAGGGCCGCACGGAAUGUGCUCCAAAUGAUACCGAAAUGAAAUCUACCUAUGGCUCGUGGCGACUUUCUUCGUGUGGUUUAUCUUGGCCAUUUACUUUGACAAUAUAAUACCGAAUGUUUUGGGAUGGACCGGAAUUUGAAUCGGUUCAGUUCCACCGGUUGAGCCUAUCACCGCUGAUGAUGAAGAUGUUCUCACCAAGGAAACUGCUGUGAAAGCAAAAAAACAAGAGACAUGCAAAUCGAUCCUAGUGUUGCAGUUGAUAUUCAUUGGCAGUAAAAGCAUUGUCGUGUUUUACAUUUUGUGGCACGUCAAGUUUUGAUUUUGCAAUUAUCGACAAUUGGGAAGUUCUAGCAA